rnacentral:lncRNA from 1 species
AUGUCCGAUGCUAGGAUGACUGAGGACCAUAAUAGGGUGGAACAUAUCUAUAACCAAAUAGAAACAAGAAUCUGUUCUGUGUCUGAUACUUUAGAUGCAAGGAUAGCUAAUAACCAGCACAGGAUUGGUGACUUGGCUCAGACCAUUCGCUCCAUGUCUGACAUAUCCACUGUGACAGGUCAAAAGCUUGAGUCUAGGAUUGGAUAUCUGGAAGGCAAUGCACAUGCCAUUCAGAGACUAUCUAAGGAGGAGAAUAUUAAAGGUUUAGAAGCACAUUCAGAUGAAGAAAUAAGGAAACUUAACAAUUCUAUGACAUUCUUGGAACCUCACAGGAUUCAUGAAAUUCAAGCUCUUCGUGAGACUGUGGUAGCUAGGCUAAAAGCCUGGGCUGACUCCGAAAGAGAUUCACUUCAAUCUGAUGCACCUACUCCACUCAAACAUCAAGAAAACUCUCCUAAGGUUGUUAUGCAUAUACCACUGGUGUUCCCAGCCACUAUGAUAGAAAACCCCCCCUCCAAAAAGCAUCCUAAUGGUCAGAUGGCAUAUCAGUGGGAACUCAUAAAAUUAAAAGACCUCAAGAGAAUUAAGGAGUUGGUUGUCUCAUAUGGUCUUCAUAGUCCUUAUGUGAAAGAAUUAUUAUGUUCAUGGGCAACCUUCAAUAGCAUGACACCCACAGAUUGGGAACGCCUAGUGUCAGCUGUGUUUGAAAAUUCGUCUCAGAUACAAUGGAGAGCUCAAUGGAGGGAGGAAAAAAAAGCCUCUGAGCUUCAAGGCAUAAAGAAAGGUUAUGAAGCUACCCAAGAUAAGAUUCUUGGUGAGAGUAUUUAUGCUGACCCACAGGUUCAGGCUGGAUAUGAUGACCAUAUAUUGUCCUUAUGCAGGACAGCAGCCUUAAAUGCCUGGGACAAGAUUCGUGAAUCAGGAGAAAGAGUGGAGACGUAUACUGAGAUAGAACAGGGACUGACAGAACAGUUCCCUGACUUUUUCAAAGACUAUCCAGGGCAGUAG